rnacentral:rRNA from 1 species
GAUGAACGCUGGCGAUAGGCUUAACACAUGCAAGUCGAGGGGUAACGUGUUGGAAGCUUGCUUCCGAUGACGACGACCGGCGGAUGGGUGCGUAACGCGUAUGCAACUUGCCUCACAGUGGAGAAUAACCCGGAGAAAUCCGGACUAAUACUCCAUACACUCUUAAGUACGCCUGUACAUGAGAGGAAAGAUUUAUCGCUGUGAGAUAGGCAUGCGUCCUAUUAGGUAGUUGGUGCGGUAACGGCUCACCAAGCCGACGAUAGGUAGGGGUGCUGAGAGGAAGAUCCCCCAGAAUGGGAGUGAGACACGGCACAAACUCCUACGGGCGGCAGCCGUGAUGCAUAGUGAUGAAGGGAGGAAGCUCUGAACAAGCCAGGUCGAGUGAAGGAAGAAUGUCGUAAGGAUUGUAAACUUCUUUAGCGAGCGAGUAAGGACUUCCACGUGAUAGGAGUUUGAAAGUAGCUCGAGAAUAAGUAUCGGCUAACUCCGUG